GGGGGCGUAAAUGGUCUCGACGGGGGUACAGUGGAUUCGAGAAGCGAGCCGUGGUUUGGUCUCUGGUGCCACGUAAAAAAGCUGGGGACAAAAAAUAAACAACAACGAUAAUUUAGCUUUAGCGGCUUAAUUUAAGCUGCUCGUUCAACCUAGGAAUCCCACGGCUUAGGAUUGGGCGUCGACUAGUGGGGAACCGAGCCUUACAAAGCUUUGAGUAGGGAACGGAAUUUAUGAAGCUACU
rnacentral:tmRNA from 1 species